rnacentral:lncRNA from 1 species
AAAAAUAUGAGCCAAAAUAUUGGAGAAGAUAUAUAUGAAGGGAGACAUGGCGCACAGAGAAUUAGACAUAACUUAUACCACCACUCCCCACCACAACAGUCAUUGGCUUGGCACGAAGGCGCGUCACGCCGGUGUCGCCUCCGUCGCGUUAUUGGCGGUUCUGGCGGUUCUGGCGUGAAGCAAGAGUCACAGAUUCUGGCGUGAAGCAAGAAUCACGGAUUCUGGCGUAGGACUUUGAAAACUUUUAGGUGGAAGAGAGGAUGAAGAUAAUAAAGAAAACUCGCUGCAAGAUUCUUCUAUGGCUUCUCCGAGGGAGAGUCUUUCUCCAACGUUUUCGAUCGUGUUUCCGGUAACCUCUCUCUCUCCUUUAUCAUUGUUCUCAUUAUCCUUCAUUUUUAUUUAAUUUAAUUGAUUGAUACUUUACACAAUUGCGACAAACUACCACCAACACGUGACUCCGGUGCCAACACCCAACCACAACAACCACCUCCAUGAACAACCGCCAUACACUCUCCGACCAAGAAAACACCAUCCACCACCACAAACACCGUCGUAACACUACUAACGCAACCCACACCGCAUGAUGAAAACGCAGGAUGAUGCAAAACCAGAAUAAAUCGGAAGAAAGCACAAAAACAAAUUCACCGACAAGACGCAACUGAGAGGCAGAAUGGACCGUGAGAGAGUAAGAAGAGAAGGAGAAGAAAGUAAAGAGUUUCAUCCUAAUCUUGAGUCAGGUUUGCAAAGAAAAAUUUGGCCUUGAAAAUAUUAUUAUGAAAUAUGUCCAAAUAAAUAUUUUUAUGAAAUGUUUGGGAUUAAUAUUUGGUAUUAUGCUAUGAAAGUUGCCUAGGAAAACAGGGAUAAUAUUAAAUUACUAAUGGGAUGAAUUAACUUAUUUGAUGAAUGGUAAACAAAUUUGGGAAAUUGUGUCCUUAUUUUAGUCUUUGUGUAUGAGAGAUUCAGAUGAUGAAUGGCACAUUGAAAUUCUUAUUAAAAAGGACAAAUUGAAAAAGAAGAUGCAAAUUUUACCAAGAAUAAGAAGAUGAAAAUUUUAAUAAGAGUGUUGUUAAUAAAGAUAUUCUUUUAUCUCAAAGAAUUAGGUAUUGUUCAUUUUAUUGAUCUUUAUAAAGAUAAGUAUACGUGAAUAUUCUACUUACACUAUUUGUUAUUAUAUAUGUGAAUAUAGUUUCUAAUGAUAAAAUUAGUAAUUUAUCUAUCAAAUUAAAAUUGCAAAUAUGAAGCAAUUCUAACAAAAUAUACCAUGUUUUUAUUUUAGAAUUUAAAAACAAUAAUAAUUUGGUGUAUAUUUGCUUUAUAUUUAUAUUGCAUGAUAAAAUUAAUUCAUAUUUCAUGAAACUAGAAUUCCAUGACUGGGACAUGAGCAUAUGGAACUUAUUGCAAUUCAGAGACCUCCUCCGUGUUAGCAAGGAUAUCUUGCAAAGUGAAAAAAUCUUCAUGUUGAUGAAAACAUGAAAAAACUAUUAUUUAUGUAUUAUCUUUUUGUAACUAAUUUUUCAUGUUUUCAUCAACAUGAUAAUUUUUCCUACACACACUGCAUUGCAAUCAAUUCCAGAUGCUUAAUGAAUAUCAAUUGACCUCAUCCAUGCAAUAUAAGUAUAUAAGCAAAUAUACACUAGUUAAAGACAAUGUUGUGAAUAUUUGUGCGGUAAUGAUGGACACUACCAAAAGUGUAAUUGUGUUUAAUGAUGCAUAUAUUAAUGGUAGUGUCCACCAUAACCUUUUUGAUAUCAACACAAACAUUUAUCAACAUAAAACAUUCACACAUUUAUGCUUUAUUCUACCAUUUUAUUUUAUUUCAAUUUUAUCCUUAUACUUAUGUUUUAUUUUUUAUUUUAUUUUUUAAAAUAUAUGAGAGGAGAUAUUUGUCAUUUUGUGACUUAUUUAUUUUUAAAAACUAAAUUUUGAAUUAUGGAGUAAUUGUAAACAUAAUUCAAAACUUUAACCGUCUUGAAUUUCAUUUUGUUAUCUUUUUAUCAUCUCUUUCAACUUCAAAAUCUAAGCAAGAGCGUCUUGAAUUUCAUUUUUUUAUCUUUUUAUCAUCUCUUUCAACUUCAAAAUCUAAGCGAGAGUCACUCAUAUUUUGAGUUAUUGAACCAAACAUUUCCCUUCAAACCUCAUUCUUCUUCAAUGGUUUAGGAAAACUACUUAUGCCAUCCAAGAACCUCUCUUUGCAAAGUCAUUCAAAAUUCAAAAUUAAAAUUUGAAAAUUCACAAUUUUAAAAUAAAAUUUAAAAUUUAGUUUUUAAAAAUAAAGAAGUCACAAAAUUAUAAAUAUCUCCUCUUAUAUAUUUUUAAAAUAAUAAAAUAAAACAUAAGUAUGGGGAUAAAAUUGAAAUAAAAUAAAAUAAUAAUUAAGAGAGAAAUUCCCUUUAUUUAUUUAUUUAUAUAUAUAUAUAUAUACUUUGAAUUAGUUCGACAAAACGUUUAAAUUUUUAUAUGGGAGUUUAUGGUGUCAUAAAUGAUUCAUCAUAAAAAUAAUGGUCAAUUAAUAACUAAAUCAUAAUAAGUAGUCUCAUUGAAGGUCUUUAUGUGAAGAGUUUAAAUAUACAAAUUGUCUAAAAAAAAUUACUAUCGUCUUAUUAUUAUAUUCAUAUUUUAUACAUAUAUUAAUAUACUAAUAUAUUUAGUGUUACUUAUUUAAGCAUUCAAGAGUCUUCACUCUUAAACUCUUCCUCUUUAUUGUGAUAAGUUAAAGUUGGUUAGUAAAAUCAUUUCUAUCUCAAGAUAUUUCGAGUUAUUUUCUUAAGAACAAUGCAUAUUAAUUCAUUUUUAAAAAUUAAAACUUUAUAAUUAUUAAUAUUUAACCUUUUUUUUUAAAUAGUAAGUUGAUUGCAAGGUCGUGUAGAUAAAUUUAUUUUUAAAAUAUAAAUUAUAUUUCUAAAAUUAUACUUUCUUUCUCUAUAUUUAUUAACAUUUGUUUUUAUAUUUAAUUGUAUUAUAUCUAUAACUUUGAAAACAAGGUAACAAAAAUGUAAAUAUGUAUAUAGUACUUAAUGAUAAAAUUAGUAAUAUAUCUAUCAAAUUAAAAUUGCAAAUAUGAAGUAAUUUUUUUUAAAAAUAUUUAUUUUAGAAUUUAAAAAUAGUAAUAAUUUGUUGUAUAUUUACUUUAUAUUUAUAUUAAAUGAUGAGACAAAUUCAUAUUUCAUGAAACUAGAAUUUUAUCACUGAGAUAUCUGCAUCUGAAAUUGAUUGCAAUUUAGAGACCUCCUCCAUGUUAGCUAGGAUAUGCAAAGUGUAGAAAAAAUCCUCAUGUCGAUGAAAACAUGAAAAAUAUUUCUACCCAUUGUAUUAUAUCCUACCUAUCAUGGAGAUGGUCUCUGCAUUGCAUUGUAAUCAAUUCCAGAUGCUUAUGUCUCAGUUAUGAAAUUUAAGUUUAAUGAAAAUAAAUUCACCCCAUCCAUGCAAUAUAAGUUUAUAAGCAAAUAUACACUAGAUAAAGAUAAUGUUGUGAUUUUCUUCACUAGCGUUCUUUCAACCAAUGCGAGUGAUUGAUCAUCUUUCUAAGUGUUUCUUUCUUUACAAAAUUUGUUACCUACGAAAGAAUGUCACACAAAACACACACACACACACACACACACAUAUAUAUAUAUAUAUAUAUAUAUAUGCAAUAUACAUAUAUUGGUAAUGACCUGUUUGUGUAGAUAAAUGUGUGAAUGUUUUAUGUUGAUAAAUGUUUGUGUUGAUAUCUUCAAGGUUAUGGUGGGCACUACCAUUAAUAUAUGCAACAUUGUUGCGGUUUUCUUCACGAUUUGAAAGAGGUGCAAGAGUGCAUCUCUAUCCGUAUUCUUUAUUUUUUAUUUUUAAUAUUUAUCUAUAUUAUUAUUAUGUAUUUAAUAUUUUAUUUCUAUCCUUAUUGUGUAUUCUCAUUUUUUUUAAUUAAUGUUAUUAUUAUUAUUAUGAUAUAGAAAACUAGCCGUAUGUUAAUGUUAGUGUGAAUGAAAUUAAGAUUGGAUUUAGGUUUCGCAAUAACUUGUUCAGGUUUUUAAUAUUUUAAUAAAUAAUUAAUUUUAAUCAUUAGUUAGAUUUUAAAAAAUAGUAGAGAGAGUUACUCAACGGUGUAAAUAUAUAAACUACGACAUGAAUAUAAAUAAACUGGGUCAAUUUAGUGUUAUCCUUUAUCAGGCAAAUUCUUCCUCCACCAUAUUAAUGUGAAUUUGCACAUAUUAAGAGUUACACCUGUUUUAUUAGUGAAAUGAUAAAAAUGUUUCUUGAAAUAGUAAAAAUAAUCUUAAAUAAAAGGACGUUAUAGAUAAAAAAAUAAAUUCAAAAUUUAAAAUUUAAUUUUUAAAAAUAAAGAUGACACAAAAAGAUAAAUAUUUUCUCUCAUAUAUUUUUAAAAUAAUAAAAUAAAACAUAAGUGUAAGAAUAAAAUUGGAAUAAAAUAAAAUCGCAGUUAAGAGGAGAAUCCCUUUAUAGAGUUUGGAUUUUAGGUUUGAAUGUGAUUUAAUAAUAUAUAUAUAUAUAUAUAUAUAUAAUAUCUAAUGAAAACCUACCUCUGAUGAAAAUUAGGAAUCAAGAGCAAUAGAGUUCCGCAUCAAAAAGUUGUGUGACAAUAACGGAAUUGUGAAGAGAUAGAUUGAGAUAGAAGGAUCUCUCAUGGAUCAAGAUAAAUGUCUAUUUUAUUAUAACUGUAUGAACAUGAAUAUGAGAAUCAUAGAUUGACAAGAUCUAUAUAUGAACA